AUUAAGGGACGGAGUGAGUAAUUAUAAAGUUAUACGUAUUUUAGGAGAUUGAGGUAGUAUCUCUUCACCUGAAUUUAGUGUUCUCUUCACCUGAAUUUCACUUAUCUUAUCUUAUCUUAUCUUGCCAUGAACUUAUCUUAUUUUAUCUUAUCUUAUGUUAUUGACCCUUAUCUUAUUUUAUCUUAACUUAUCUGAACUUAUUGACCCUUAUCUUAUCUUAUCGACCCUCAUCUUAUCUUAUCUUAUUUACCUCACCUUAUCUUAUGGUGAAGAGAAUAGAGUCUGACAUGUCCGUUAUAUAUUGGGGUAAUGCGGCCUUUAAGGUUACUUUGAAGUUUGAACCCCAAAACAAAUGAGCAUAGUUCAGAAGCCCGCUCAUUUGCCGAGUAUUUGAGUGCCCACCACAUGUUCGAUGAAAUGCUUAAGAGAAACAGAGGGAAAUCCAACAGUACGCCAAUGGAGUUUUGUACAGAGUUCAAACAAAAAAAUUCUGGAAUUUCUUUAAAUCAAGUCACUUUCAGCAACUUUCCAACAAUAUGAAUUGAAUGGUCCCUCAAAAGAGGACCAGAGGGAAUCAUCAACCAGGACUCAAAUCUAAGACUAUUCUACUUGUAUUAUACAAGCAAGUUAUAACCAUAUCUACACCAGAAAGCUAGAGGGCGGUGAAAUGCAUAAGAAGAUGGGGCAAAGAUUGGUGCUUUUCCCCUUACCAUUGCAAGGCCAUCAGACUCCUAUGCUUCAGCUAGCAAACAUCCUACAUUCCAAAGGUUUCCUUAUUUCUAUUGUCCACACACAUUUCAACUCCCCUAAUCCUGCUAAUCAUCCUCAUUUCACUUUCCAUCCUAUUCCUGAGAGCUUGUUGGGUUGUAAAGCUUCUGUUUCAGAUGUUAUAGGACUUCUGAAUACACUUAACAUUAACUGUGUCGUGCCUUUCAAGGAUCUUUUGGCACAGAUACUGUCUGAGAAUGCUGCCAAAGAGCCUGUUUCUUGCUUAAUUACAGAUGCUAUGUGGCACUUCACACAAGAUGUUGCAGAUAGCCUUAUGCUUCCGAGGAUAGUGUUGCGGACCAGUAAUCCAUCCUCCUUUGUUGCAUUCACAUAUCUGUCGCUUUUUCGAGAAAAAGGUUACCUCUCCUCUCAAGGUAGUCAGUUGGAAGAACAAGUGCCAGAGCUUCCACCUUUGAAAAUGAAAGACAUUCCCAUACUUGGCACACGUGAUCUAGAAGCAACUUAUGGAUUAGUUUGUAAUAUGGUAGAAAAAACUAAGGCCUCCAGAGGACUCAUAUUCAACUCCUUUGAGGAACUUGAAGGUCCUGCACUGGCCAUGCUUAAGAAAGACUUUCACAUUCCCCUUUUUGCAGUGGGACCGUUUUAUAAACAGGCUCAAGCUUCAUCAGGCAGCCUGUUGACACAAGAACGAGACUGCAUUUCCUGGUUGAAUGUUCAUGCACCCAAGUCAGUGCUAUACAUAAGCUUUGGAAGCAUAGCUGCAGUUGAUGAGACAGAUUUUCUUGAGAUUGCAUGGGGCUUAGCAAAUAGCAAACAACCAUUCUUAUGGGCAAUUCGGCCUGGGUUGGUCCGUGGCUUAGAUGGGCCUGCUCCACUGCCAAAUGGGUUCUCAGAGACAAUUGCAAAGCAAGGCCGGAUUGUUACAUGGGCCCCACAAGACGAGGUUUUGGCUCAUCCUGCAGUUGGAGGAUUUUUUACUCACAGUGGAUGGAACUCGACCUUGGAGAGUAUUUGUGAAGGUGUGCCCAUGAUUUGCCUACCUUGCUUCGGUGAUCAGAUGGUCAAUGCUAGACAUGUAACUGAUGUGUGGAAGGUGGGUUUACGAUUUGAGAAUGGGCUUAAUCGAGAAGAUAUAGAGAACGCAAUCAAAAGAUUACUGGUGGAAAAAGAAGGCAAUGAGAUGAGACAGAGGCUGACAUGUUUGAAAGAGAAGGCAAGUCUUUGUCUAGCAGCUGGGGGAUCCUCUCACAGGUCCUUGGAAAGUUUGGUUGCUCAUAUCUCAUCAUUUUGAAUAUUUUACUUCGUAUCCUUUUGGGACCUUCUCCUUUGACAUUUGUUUAGUUUUCUGUCUUUCUGAUCAUAAAAGGGUGGUCUCAGUCUGUAGAAAAACAUGUUGAUGUCAAAGCAAUUAAGCAGCUCAUUCCACUGCAAAAAUCACAUCUUUAUUUCGGAUUGACAGUGUACCAUCAAUUUCAUUUGUAAAAAUUUCUAGAUAUUCCAACAAGUGUUAUAAUUACUGCUUUCAAUGUUCUAAUAAAAUUUUGGUCCACCUACAGAAACAGGGUAGCUGUGGUCCAGGGUUACUGAUGUCUGAUGCAAGCUUUUCUUAAAUAAGAUGGGCGGUACCAUUGUCCAGUAUCCUUCAACCUAGAAUCCAGGCUGCCUGUAGUGCAAUAACGGAUGGAUCAACGAAGAUGUUAUCUGGUAUUUCACACAAGCUGUUGCUGACAGCCUUGACCUUCCAAGGAUUGUGUUGCGGACUAAUAAUCCAUCUUCUUUCAUAGCUUUCACUUACUUGCCACUUUUUAGAGAAAAGGGUUACCUCUCUGCUC